CCCUUAGAUGUUCUGGGCCGCACGCGCGCUACACUGACAAUGUCAACGAGUCGACUCACCUUGGCCGAUCGGUCUGGGUAAUCUUCUAAAACGUUGUCGUGAUGGGGAUUGAUCAUUGGAAUUAUUGAUCAUCAACGAGGAAUUCCUAGUAAGCGCAAGUCAUCAGCUUGCGUUGUAUGCGUUACUUCCCUUUGUACACACCGCCCGUCGCUCCUACCGAUUGGAUGAUCCGGUGAAAUUUUUGGAUUUUACUUGAGAUUAGGGUAACCUAAUUUGAUGGUGAGAAAAAUUGAUUAAACCUUAUCAUCUAGAGGAAGGAGAAGUCGUAACA
rnacentral:rRNA from 1 species